rnacentral:rRNA from 1 species
AACGAACGCUGGCGGCAUGCCUAACACAUGCAAGUCGAACGAGACCUUCGGGUCUAGUGGCGCACGGGUGCGUAACGCGUGGGAAUCUACCCUCAGGUUCGGAAUAACUCAGAGAAAUUUGAGCUAAUACCGGAUGAUGACGUAAGUCCAAAGAUUUAUCGCCUGAGGAUGAGCCCGCGUAGGAUUAGGUAGUUGGUGAGGUAAAGGCUCACCAAGCCGACGAUCCUUAGCUGGUCUGAGAGGAUGAUCAGCCACACUGGGACUGAGACACGGCCCAGACUCCUACGGGAGGCAGCAGUGGCGAAUAUUGGACAAUGGGCGAAAGCCUGAUCCAGCAAUGCCGCGUGAGUGAUGAAGGCCUUAGGGUUGUAAAGCUCUUUUACCCGGGAUGAUAAUGACAGUACCGGGAGAAUAAGCUCCGGCUAACUCCGUG